UACGUAGGGUGCAAGCGUUAAUCGGAAUUACUGGGCGUAAAGCGUGCGCAGGCGGCUUUGCAAGACAGAUGUGAAAUCCCCGGGCUUAACCUGGGAACUGCAUUUGUGACUGCAUGGCUGGAGUGCGGCAGAGGGGGAUGGAAUUCCGCGUGUAGCAGUGAAAUGCGUAGAUAUGCGGAGGAACACCGAGGGCGAAGGCAAUUCCCUGGGCCUGCACUGACGCUCAUGCACGAAAGCGUGGGGAGCAAACAGG
rnacentral:rRNA from 1 species